CUUAAACUACCCGCGCGCCUCCCUCUUGUCAAAGAAAUGAGAAAACCCUAAACAUAGUUCGACGUUCGAGUGCCAUCCUUGUAGUGAAGAACAUUUGUUUCUUUCUCAGAUGAUUCUUGCAUAGAUAACUCAAGCCAUACUGCCAUUCGAAUUUGCCUUACGUUCAUGGGCAUGGUCCUUUUGAAAGACGAAGUCAUACGAGUUUCUCCUUCAAUUGAAUCAAAGCAUAGAGAAAUCAGAAAACCCCACCAAUCCUAUGCUUCUACCAAUCGCCGUAUCGUUGGAAACGCUUAAACUCAUUGAUUUUGGUCCCAAGCUUCUACCGAUUGUCGUCAUGGUUUCAUGGGGGUUUCGUCAUUAGAGGUGAUUAUUAAGUUUUGGCUCUGAUGGGAUCUUGGGGAAAUUGAUUUUUUUUUUCAGGGGUUCAAGUUUGUUGCGUCGUCGACCCACUUCAAAGAACGGUAGAUUACACUCAAGAAGGAGAUUUAUGCAGGAGGCACUAUUGCUAGUUUAUUUACUUUUACUCUUUUUCCCCCAAAUCACUCUGUUUCUUACCUAUAAUUGACUUAUUUUCCUUUUUUUGUUA